CUUGGCUAGGCUGUGGUGUGCAGUUGUUUUGUCAACCCUAGCUUACAUGUUGUUGUAUAUUCCAGUUGUAGGUUCUUCUGGUUGUGCUAUAUGGGAUGCUGCCUCAACGUGGCUUGAUGAGCAGAGCCAUGUCUGUGCCCAGGAUCCGAACCAGUGAAACCCUGGGCCGCCAAAGCAGAGUGUGCCAACUUAAUCGCUCGGCCACAGGGCUGUCCCCUCUCAGAGGAUUCUUAUCUCCAAGGCUUAAGAAAUCAAAGGAACCCUUGCCUUGGGGAGAGCUUCUUAUUCAUCAAGACCAAAUAGGUAACCCAGAGAUGAAGAACGCAACAAAAGAACAAUGGAAUUCCAAGGAGAAGAAUUGUCUGGCAUAGGAAUAUUCUUGCUUUAGUGAUUCAGGCCGUUCUAAUGAACAAGAAGAAAUAUGGGACUUACAUUGUAUUUAUUCAUGGAAAGAUAUUCAUAUAACACUGUUCCAGUGUCAUCAAUACAACCGUAAUUCAUGAUCCUGACAACAGAGCAAUGCAUUCUGUGUGGUCUCACCAUCGAGGAAACCUGAAUUUGAAACCGAAGCUGCCAAAACAAAAAUAAAAGCCAUAAAUCACAAAUAUUCA
rnacentral:lncRNA from 1 species